rnacentral:misc_RNA from 1 species
GAUGAAGAACGUAGCGAAAUGCGAUAAGUAAUGUGAAUUGCAGAAUUCAGUGAAUCAUCGAAUCUUUGAACGCACAUUGCGCCCCUUGGUAUUCCGGGGGGCAUGCCUGUUCGAGCGUCAUUAUAACCCCUCAAGCUCAGCUUGGUGUUGGGGCCUGCCAACUGGCAGCCCUUAAAAUCAGUGGCGGCGCCAUCUGGCUCUAAGCGUAGUAAUUUCUCUCGCUAUGGAGUCCCGGUGGACGCUUGCCAGCAACCCCCAACUUUCUAUGGUUGACCUCGGAUCAGGUAGGGAUACCCGCUGAACUUAAGCAUAUCAAUAAGCGGAGGA